CAGGGCAGAUUUUGAUAGUCAUCGCACUUUAUUCUUUAUAGCGUGUGAUACACUUUCGUGAAUUCAAGUAUGUCGUGAUUAUAAACGAGGAAACGAUUAAAAUUGAAGUACGAAUAUACGAUCAUAUUUCUUAAAAAUCCAACAUUUCCAGAACAGUUAUCAAAAUGGUCGUUUUUCUGCAGAUUUUCAUAUUAUAUGCAUUUUAUCUAAAAUGGACUGUUUGUGCAAAAGAAGGAGUAUGCUCUAUAGGAGAUUCAAAGUACGGCUCAUGUAAUUAAGACAAAAGAAUGUUGUUCGAGCUACAGAAAAAUAAAAGGUGAAUGCAUUGAGUGUGUUGGUUUCUUCGGAGAUAAUUGCGAAAAACAAUGUGUGGAUGGAUAUUUCGGAAAAUCGUGUAAAGAGGCUUGUAACUGUACAAACUCAGAAACCUGUAAUCAGUACGUCGGGUGCAUCGAAACCAAAAGUAAAAUAGAUUCGGAAAAGGCAGAAACUACGACAGACAACAAAGAAGCAUGCCCGCUUGUUAGACUAAUGGUUCCUGCAAUAACGACUCUGCCUAUUCUAAGUUUCAUCAUGUGUUUUAUGAUCUGCUUAUAUAGAACACGAAGACAAGGAAAGUAUAAAGUGGACAACGCCAUGAAAAUGAAGUCAAUCCCACAGAAAAAGUCACAAAACAUUCAGUUGAUUCGUUACAUCAGCAAUGCACACGAACAUAGACAAUACAGUGACAUCGAUAUUACGAAAUACACGUAUAAUAGAGAAUUUGAAAAGCACGUGACACAUGACUACAGUCGAAUCAUAUUCCCUAAAUUUACGUCAGUGGAUAUCCCAGCAGACCAGUACAGUACGGCCAUAAUACGUAAUCCACAUGUACUGGAGGAUGGAGAAAGUGGAAGUAGCACAGACACUUCUGAUGGAGGAAAUAUGCAAGAACGUUUGAGACACCCCUCCACUGACCAACGUAGUGCACAAAACUCCAGACCUUAUAGUCUAGUUCACCCCGAAUGGAUUUGACGAAGUCUGAUUUUACCAUCUAGGUAUCUCUAUCGGGACUAGAAAGUUUAUGAUAAGACGAAGUCAGAGUUAUACAACAUUGUUAUUUAUUGUCAUCUCAUAUCACUUUCAUCAUAUAUUUGUUAAAUACAUUGCAUUGAUCGAUUCGUUGUGCAUUUGUAUACAUUGAAUGAAUAUUUAUGAUUUCUGAGGGCUUUUGGGAAACAUGUAUAUGAAUUAUACCAAUUCUACUCACUUUCGCUUAAAUCUACUUCGCUGGUAUUUGGAAUGAUGAAUAUUUUAAUUCUAGAGAGAAUUCCCAAUCUUAUUAAAUGUAUCGUACUUAUAUUAGUCAUCAGGGACUUAGGAUUGUGCUCGAGGGACUUUCCUCAGACGCUAUCGCAAAAAGUAGAUUGCUGUAAAGUAUCUAGUAUGAUUACUAUAUUAAAUGAAUUAUA